rnacentral:rRNA from 1 species
GAUGAACGCUGGCGGCGUGCCUAAUACAUGCAAGUAGAACGCUGAAGGAGGAGCUUGCUCUUCUGGAUGAGUUGCGAACGGGUGAGUAACGCGUAGGUAACCUGCCUGGUAGCGGGGGAUAACUAUUGGAAACGAUAGCUAAUACCGCAUGACAACAGUUAUUGCAUGAUAACUGUUUAAAAGGGGCAACUGCUCCACUACCAGAUGGACCUGCGUUGUAUUAGCUAGUUGGUGAGGUAACGGCUCACCAAGGCGACGAUACAUAGCCGACCUGAGAGGGGGAUCGGCCACACUGGGACUGAGACACGGCCCAGACUCCUACGGGAGGCAGCAGUAGGGAAUCUUCGGCAAUAGACGGAAGUCUGACCGAGCAACGCCGCGUGAGUGAAGAAGGUUUUCGGAUCGUAAAGCUCUGUUGUAAGAGAAGAACGAGUGUGAGAGUGGAAAGUUCACACUGUGACGGUAUCUUACCAGAAAGGGACGGCUAACUACGUG